rnacentral:rRNA from 1 species
UAUCUGGUUGAUCCUGGCCAGUAGUCAUAUGCUUGUCUCAAAGAUUAAGCCAUGCAUUGUCUUAAGUACAACCUUUAAUACGGUAAACGCGAAUGGCUCAUUAAAUCAGCUAUGGUUCCCUUAGAUCGUCUCAUCCUACUCGGGAUAACUUGUGAAAAUCUAGAGCUAAUACGUAGCUUACAAGCCCUGACCUCACGGGAGGGGCGCAUUUAUUAGAUUCAAAAACCAAUCGGGGCUUGCCCCGUCUGCUUGGUGACUCUGGAUAACUUUUUGUGCUGGAUCGCAUGGCCUCUGCGCUGGCGACAGUAUCUUUUCAAGUGUCUGCCCUAUCAACUUACGAUGGUAGGUGAUAUGGGCCUACCAUGGUUUAUAACAACGGGGUAACGGGAAUCAAGCGUUCGAUUCCGCGAGAGGGAGCCUGAGCACUGAGAAACGGCUACCACAUCUAAGUGAAGGCAGCAAGGCGCGCAAAUUACCCACUCCCGGCACGGGGAGGGUAGAGUGACGAAAAAUAACGAUACGGGACUCUUUGAGGCCCCGUAAUUGGAAUGAGUACACCUUUAAAUCCGUUAACAAGUAUCUAUUGAGAGGGCCAAGUCUGGUGCCAGCAGGCGCAGGUAAUUCCAGCUCCACAAUAGCCGUAUAUAUUAAUGUUGCUGCAGUUAAAAAAGCUCGUAGUUGGAUCUGAGGACUCGAAUUGGUGGUGCACCAUACGGUGUUACUGCCGAUUCGGGCCUACCUAGUCGGUGCUCGCUCUUGUGUGUUCUUAAUUGAAUGCCCUGAGUGCCGGCGGAAGUUUACUUUGAAAAAAAUUAGAGUGCUUCAAAGCAGGCCAUUAGCCGGAAUACUUCAGCAUGGAAUAAUGGAAUAGGACUUCGGUUCUCUAUUUGUUGGUUUUCGGAACCCGACGAGGUAAUGAUUAGAGAGACAGAGGGGUCGGGGGCAUUCGUACUGCGGUGUUUAGAGGUUGAAAUUCUUGGAUCGGCCGCAAGACGAACAACUGCGAAAGCAUUUUGCCAAGAAUGUUUUCAUUAAUCAAGAAACGAAAGUCAGAGGUUCGAAGACGAUCAGAUCAUACCGUCCUAGUUCUGGCAUAAACGAUGCCAACUGGCGCUGAUCCGAGAUCGUUUGCUUAUUGACCUCUCGGGCAGCACUCGGGAAACCAAAGUUUUUAGUUCCGGGGGAAGGUAUGGUUGCAAAGCUUGGAGUUUCCACUGUUUGCAAAGCUGGAAACUGCUUCAAUUGCAACUCUGCCUGUGACACCAAGUGGUCGGGUUACUUGGUCUGUUCUGGCCCGGAGUCGGUAGGGUUUCCGGCCUUGUGCUCUUUCCUUACUGUUCUGUAACGCGCCGAAGGCCGCGGGCUUCCACGGUGGGCUUCCACGGAAUGGGCGGGUUGUACAAAUCCGGCAAAUCCAUCAGCCAAAUGCGGUUCCGGACUCUGUCCAACCUGCCAACUGGUAACAGCCUCGGCUGGCUAACAUUUGAAGCUGGGACUCGCUUGGGAAGGAGCGAGACGAGGAUAAUAUAAACCUCUAUGUGACUGAGGUGAGGAAUCUGGUUCUCGUUAAAUGGCUGGAGAUUGCCCGAGCCUGUUAAGUCAUUAUAUACUUAGUUCCCCCACGAGGGGAGGUGUCGAAUUGAAGCCAGUGCGUGCCCUUACUAGUUUAAGGGAUUGUAUACUUCCUUUUGGUGUAUCACCACCUGAGAAGUGCCCAAGGGGUCCUAUCCCUGCACUCCAACCCCGAUUGGAGUCAGGUGACGGCCCUCCUUACCUCAGCCAGACGCGGCCGGGACCACCGGAAGGGCGGUUCUGGGCCCCGAAGCCUGACGGCGUCGGGGGUGCAGGAAGCCUCCUAGGCGACCAGCCAACAGCGUACCAGCCGGUGCAGAAAUGCAGUAGGCGCUUUAUCUGCUAUUAACGGUAAAUCACCGGCCAGUAGUCUGCACCGAGGUUUUGUGGCACCUAACUAGGCCAAGAAGGGUGGACAGCAGGCGGCGGUUGUAUCCGAAGGUCGCACGUCUCCCUCCGUUUUGCCUGGCUCCCAAGGGGCGUGUCUACGUCUCCUGCUGUGGACUCGCCGUCUUCUGUUCUCAGUUGAACGGCGCAGCAGCCUAACGGCGGGUGGUUUGUGGGCGACCUACCGGAAGCUACACGAGAGCGGGCCUAAAGGCCCGCCCCGCAGCAGUUCGGCGGGGCGGACGACCGCCCCCCCAACCCCCCCACCGGCCUACUAAAUAAACGCGAUAUUCGACGGAAGCGGCACCACCAGGAGUGGAGCCUGCGUAAUUUUGACUCAACACGGAAAACUCACCGGCCCGGACACUGCUUAGGAUUGAAAUUGAGAUCCUUUCUUGAUUCGGUGGGUGGUGAGUGCCAUGGCCGUUCUUAGUUGUGGAGCGAUUUGUCUGGUUAAUUCCGAUAACGAACGAGACUCUAGCCUGCUAAAAUAGUACGCCGAUACCUUUUCGUCGGUGCUGACUUCUUAGAGGGAACAAGCGUCUUGAAGACGCCACUGAGAUUGAGCAAUAACAGGUCUGUUAGAUGCCUUAGAUGUUCGGGGCCGCACGCGCGCUACACUGAAGGGGACAGCGAGUUUUCUUCUGUCGAAAGAACCGGGUAUAUCUGUUGAAUUCCCUUCGUGACAGGGAUCGGGGCUUGCAAUUAUUUCCCCGUGAACGAGGAAAUUCCCAGUAAGCGCAAGUCAUCAGCUUGCGUUGAUUACCGUCCCUGCCCUUUGUACACACCGCCGUCGCUUACUUACCGAUUGAAUGGUUUAGCAAGCGUCCUCGGAUUGUGCCGACUGGUUGGCAACACUUAGGUCGGGAUUACUGAAAAAGAAGAUCAAACUUGAUCAUUUAGAGGAAGUAAAAUCGUAACAAGGUUUCCGUAGGUGAAACCUGCCGGAAGAUCAUUA